UACGUAGGUGGCAAGCGUUGUCCGGAUUUACUGGGCGUAAAGAGCGCGCAGGCGGUCGUUCAAGUCGCGUGUGAAAGCCCCCGGCUCAACUGGGGAGGGUCACGCGAUACUGAUCGACUCGAAGGCAGGAGAGGAUAGUGGAAUUCCCAGUGUAGAGGUGAAAUUCGUAGAUAUUGGGAAGAACACCGGUGGCGAAGGCGGCUAUCUGGCCCGUAAUUGACGCUGAGGCGCGAAAGCGUGGGGAGCAAACAGG
rnacentral:rRNA from 1 species